UACAGAGGUCCCAAGCGUUGUUCGGAUUCACUGGGCGUAAAGGGUGCGUAGGUGGCGAGGUAAGUCGGAUGUGAAAUCUCCAAGCUCAACUUGGAAAUGGCAUUGGAAACUACCUGGCUAGAGGUUUGGAGGGGGGACUGGAAUUCUCGGUGUAGCAGUGAAAUGCGUAGAGAUCAUGAGGAAGACCAGUGGCGAAGGCGGGUCUCUGGACAGUUCCUGACACUGAGACACGAAGGCCAGGGGAGCAAACGGG
rnacentral:rRNA from 1 species